rnacentral:rRNA from 1 species
AGGGGAGUGAAAUAGAACCUGAAACCGUGUGCUUACAAGUAGUCAGAGCACGUUAAUGGGUGAUGGCGUGCCUGUUGUAGAAUGAACCGGCGAGUUACGAUUUGAUGCAAGGUUAAGCAGUAAAUGUGGAGCCGUAGCGAAAGCGAGUCUGUAUAGGGCGUUUAGUAUUUGGUCGUAGACCCGAUACCAGGUGAUCUACCCUUGGUCAGGUUGAAGUUCAUGUAACACUGAAUGGAGGACCGAACCGACUUACGUUGAAAAGUGAGCGGAUGAAAUGAGUGUAGCGGAGAAAUUCCAAUCGAAACUGGAGAUAUCUGGUUCUCUCCGAAAUAUCUUUAGGGCUAGCCUCAAGUGAUGAUUAUU